rnacentral:misc_RNA from 1 species
UUAAAAUAAAAAAAAAAUAAUAUCUUACAAAAUUCCCCUAAAAGAAACGGUCCUAAAAUCUUUAGCCAGCAGUGCCAACUGUCAUGUCUUAAUAGGAACAGUCAAAAUGAAGUAAAACUUGGUAUGUUCCAAAAAAAUAUUUUAGCAAUCCUCAUAACAGUAUCUAACAGCUAACUAUAUAGUUAUGCUCACUUUUAACCUGCUUAAUUUUGUAGGGGCCAAACAAAAACUAACUAGACAAAAAGCCAAAUGGAAAGUGAUUCAA